GCGUCUGGGCUCCUUUACCUGUCCUUGGCCUGGGUGAACCGCAGCCGCCCGGAACGGAGAUGGGAGUGGAAAUGCUCUCCUCCAUGUGGUGAUAGAUCAUGAAAAUGGGUGACACCAGUUUAACCAAUAAAACAAUUUGAAUCAAUUAGCCGGCUGAGGAGAGUCCUGACGUGUAAAAUGCAUGUCAGCUCGAAGAGGAAAGCAUUGAUUAACUCGGGCUCGACCAGCCUCCUCUCGCCACCGUCGACUCCUCCCUGAGCCUGCCAGUGUCCCAGGGGCCAGAACAGGGACUGACAAGGACUCCACAGAGGACCAGCAGGAGACUUGUUCAAACUGAGGAGAAAACAAAGGGUCACAGAGACAGUGGGUGGCAGAAGGUUGCUCGCAGACUCAAAAUAUACCAACAGGCUGUGAUUCUGCAGUCCAGCUCUGGUCUCAAGAUGAGGAUUCACUGGGGGCAAGUGUGAAGUCUUUGAAUAACUGUUAUCCACUUUUACCUUCCAAAAAUAUAUAAUUGACCUGA
rnacentral:lncRNA from 1 species